GGUGAGGCUUAAAGGUAGAGUGCUUGCCUAGCAUGCAAAAGGUCCUGGGUUGGAUCCCAGAACCA
rnacentral:tRNA from 1 species